rnacentral:lncRNA from 1 species
UGAAUUUUGUUUUUUGAAAAUCAGUUUCCUGAAUUACAAGAAAAUUAUUUUUCCAAAACCUUAGAAUGGUUGGUAAAGUGAUUAUCUGAAAAACAAAAACCAAAGUAUACGUCAAAAUCUUGAAAACAAAAUCAAGGCCCGAACGUGCUUGAGUAAUGCCCUCAUUAAACUUCCCACUAUUUCCAUAUAUUACUCUCUUUUUUUUUUUCUCUUUUUGUACUCUCUCAAAAAUAAUUUUGGGUUUCAUUCUUUUUCAGGAUCCAUGUAUAUUUUUUUAAUUGUGGCCAUUGGAUUUUUUUCAUUCAAGAAAUUCUUCUUUUCUACUUCAUUCAAGAAAUUCUUAAAUCUUAAAGUCGAUAAUCUAUUUCUUUUUGUGUUAAUAUGAAAAAAUUAUUUGAGACAACCCUCAUAUAGUCAUAUGUAUCAAUAAGUUUCAAUGCACAUGGGGCACAAAUAAUAUGUUUUUUCUUUUCCAGCCGCACAAAUAAAAUGCUCGAAAUAUAUAUAUACUUGAUGCAUUCUCCUAGCUAGUGAUAAUACUUGAUGCAUUGGAUUUAUGAUGGUGAACUAUUAAACUUUAAGAAGUCAAGCUGGUUUUAUAUAUUGAUAAAUAAUAUGAAAAUAUAUAGAGACGUAGUGUAGGCCACAAUUGUUCUUUGCGCUUGAAUUUGCAUUUAUAUUUUUCAUACUAUAAUUUGCUAAUCAUCAGAAUGAAUAAUCAAAGAUAAAUCAAAUUUAUAUUAUUAUUUCCUCUCUCACAAGAAUGAUAAAACAUAAUAAUGCGCAAAGGUUUUUUUUUUUUUUUUUGAACAUUAAUAAUGCGCAAAGGUUACGUGUUGGAGAAUGUUAAAGUGGAUUGGAUUAAGCACCCUUUUACCACGAGGUAAAAUAGCCGACCCAUGUAUGGAUUGCAUUUUGCCGGCCAGGUUCCUCUAGCUUUUUUCCAAACCGGGCUUACCAUUCAGAAUCGGUUCGUAGGUAACCAUUAUACAGCCAGUCACACUAACAGAUUUAACCAAUUAAAAUUAUAUUUGACACC